rnacentral:lncRNA from 1 species
GGGGGUGGGAGCGGCGGAGGCGUCCGUGUUGGACCCCGAGGCCUCCGCCUGCGUGGUAAGGUGGCCUCUUGAAAGCGGCCUAGGGGCUGAAGGCUGGCACGUGGGAAGCACUCUGGGUUGUGUGAGGACGUCGGGAGUGACUGCCCGUCCCGGUCCCACCCCUACCGCUCUGGCUGCCCCAAGGUUCACUUCGACGUGCGCUCCCCGGGGGCAUGCCGUCGGCCGGUGUGUAUUCAGCACCCGCUCGACCCGGCUCCCUGCGGAGCUACGGCGGAGACAAAGGACAGGGGGGCCGGGUCCCCGCCCGCCCGCAAGCACGCCCGCCCGCUGGGGGCUACCAGUCUAUCGCGGGGAGGGAGAAGGACAUCGUCGAUUCAGCCUUCUCUGCUUCACUUGUGCUGGGAACAUGCUCGAAGGCCGCUGGGGCCCAGGAGCCGGGAUCCCGGACCAGCCUGGGGAGGAUGAAGGGAGAGAGGGCAAAGCCGCUGCGGGGCGGGGCGGGGUGGGGUCGUGGGGGAGAUGCAGCAAGUGCCGAUGGCCUGCAACCUCGCGACUCUUGCAGGGAACCGCACGAAGAGAGCGCGUGGGGGCUCUGUACCGGAGGGAGCUCGGGGAUGGCGAGGGGCUUUGAACUUUACCACCAAGAGCUACAGGAGUCUCUCUAAAGAACAGUAUCAAGCGAGGUUCUCCUUGGAGGCCUCUGGAAAGCUAGACAACCGGAGAGGGCAACCUGGUGGCAGGUGGUUCCUAGUGUGGAUGAUGGGUCCAGGACUUAAUCGAACAAGAUUUCUUUCAACUGCCCAGUAUAGAAGUCGCGCUUGGAAACGCCGGAAGCCUGCACUGGGUAAGCACAUAGGGGCUAAGGAAUCAGAAGCUGUCUUGGAUUGCUCCUUCUGCCCCUGUCAGCCUCAGCUGAGCGGCUCCUCAGGCGCCCAGGAGCCUCCUCUGGACAGAUUUAUCCAGGAAAAUCUUGUCUGACCUCCCAACUUGAGACCUACCUCACCAUCUCCUCUUCAGAGACCGCCG